rnacentral:rRNA from 1 species
AUGAUUUAUAAUUUCUCUUUUGUGUCACAUAGUGUCCUUCUAAUGCCGCACACUACCCGCAGUCCGGCCGAUGAUGAUCUCCCCGCUUCAUCGAGCAGGUCGUUGGCUCCGUCGGAUGUGGAUUCCAUCCCGACUGCCUCCACCUCUCGCGCCGCUGAGGACGCUGAGGUGGGAUCCCAGGAAGGGACCCAUCAGGAGGAGGCUCCGGAGGCGCCGCAAGGCAGCCUCCCGGACAUUGCGCCGGACUCCACGCCGGAACCCGCAGUGGUUCCGGAGUCCGGAAGGCGGCGCCUUCGCAAGAAGGGCAAGACUGUGACGCCAGUGGCCCCGUCCAACCGGAGGCGCCGGACAACUUGCUGGAGGCACUCAAAGGCACUUCCAUCGAGGAAGAACACCGCACUAUUAUGCGUGCGGUGA